UAAAAGCGAGGAGUUUGGAGAGAUUAGGACGGUAGGGAUAGGUGGUGAACCUUGGUUCGUGGGGAAAGAUGUGGCAGAGGUGUUGGGAUAUGCCGAAACUGCCAACAUAAGAAAACUUUUAGACGAGGCGGAUUACAAAGAAAUAGACCCACAAAAUGGCUUAUUUACUGGGUUCGUCCAAAACGGAGUAACCCUUGAAGAAAGCAGGCAGGAUGAACCAAACAUCACUUCAAACUUAAACCAAGAAGUUGUUAAGGGGAAGAAUCAACAAGGGAGAGGACACAGCACUUCAAUCUU
rnacentral:ncRNA from 1 species